rnacentral:rRNA from 1 species
UACGUAGGGUGCAAGCGUUAAUCGGAAUUACUGGGCGUAAAGCGUGCGCAGGCGGUGAUGUAAGACAGAUGUGAAAUCCCCGGGCUCAACCUGGGAACUGCAUUUGUGACUGUAGAGCUGGAGUACGGCAGAGGGGGAUGGAAUUCCGCGUGUAGCAGUGAAAUGCGUAGAUAUCGGUAGGAACACCAGUGGCGAAGGCGGUUUCCUGGAGCUAACUUGACGCUGAGACGCGAAAGCUGGGGGAGCAAACGGG